rnacentral:rRNA from 1 species
GACGUAGGUGGCGAACGUUAUCCGGAAUUAUUGGGCGUAAAGGGUGCGUAGAUGGUCUGACAAGUUAACAGUGGUAAAUCGAGGCUCAACCUCGUGGAAACUGAUAAUACUGUCUGGCUCGAGUACAGAAGAGGUUAACGGAAUUCCAUGUGGAGCGGUAAAAUGCAUAGAUAUAUGGAAGAACACCAAUAACGGCGAAGGCAGUUAACUAUUCUGUUACUGACAGUGAGGCACGAAAGCGUGGGGAGCAAAACGG